CAAUAGCGUAUAUUAAAGUUGUUGCAGUUAAAAAGCUCGUAGUUGGAUUUCUGUUCUCGGGGAUUGGUCCGCCUCACGGUGAGCACUGGUAUCCUGGGGACAUCCUCUCGAAGGCGGGUGGUGCACUUAAUUGUGUGCUGCUUGGAUUCGGGACCUUUACUUUGAAAAAUUAGAGUGUUCAAAGCAGGCGUCGGCUUGAAUACAUUAGCAUGGAAUAAUGAGAUAGGACUUUGGUACUAUUUUGUUGGUUUGCGCACCAAGGUAAUGAUUAAUAGGGAUAGUUGGGGGUAUUCAUAUUCAAUUGUCAGAGGUGAAAUUCUUGGAUUUAUGGAAGAUGAACUUAUGCGAAAGCAUUUACCAAGGAUGUUUUCAUUAAUCAAGAACGAAAGUUAGGGGAUCGAAGAUGAUCAGAUACCGU
rnacentral:rRNA from 1 species